GGCAGAGAUGGCAACUGCAGGGGAGAGCAGAGAUAGUGACCUGAAGCAGAGAGGAAGGAGAACUGCUACACAGACAGAGGCACAAAAGAGAAAUGGAAAUCGGAAUCGCUUUGAGAGUCAUCCUUCCACGCCUGCCCACCUUUAGAAGAUGCACUGUUGGAGAAGGAGAAGCCAGAGAGACCUGUACCAUCUGUCUCUCAUAGUGUGAGAUUGGAGAGGAAGUAGCAGUGUCAUCCUUCCACCAUGUCUUCCGUUUACCAUAGUUGAUUCAAUAGCUUGAGUUCAACAACAACUGCCCCCUGUCCAUGCACGGUGCUACGACUUCAACGCAUUCUUCCUGUCUCUAUGAAAGAGAUAAACCAACAAUCCAAACAGCUACUACUCUACAGGCCAAGGCAGCAUAAAAACAAUGUGACUGGCAACAAGGGAGGAGAUCGGUGUUUUAUAUCACUGUUCCUGGACCUGGGAGGUCUAUUGCUUCCGACAUCGUUGGACAAAGAUGUACAAUGUUUUUUGACUGCGUUAUUUGAGAACUCUGUGUUUUGAUUUUCUCUUUUUCUUAUUAAUUCUCUACCUCCUUCAAUUUCUUUUAUACAACAAUAUGGAAUUUCUAAUGGGAAUUAUAUUAUGAAGUAGACGGAGAAAACAAGAUCUCACUGUCCAUUAAAGGACAGUAGAAUGUAUAAUUGUAAUUAUGAACUUUUCUGUGUUUACUCUAUAUUUGUGACUAUCAAAACGUUUUAUAUUAUACAAAUCUACAUAUGGUUCAUUGGUUAUGGUGAUAAUUUUUAAGAAUAUGUGUAAUUCAAAAAUCUCUUGUUUGAUUCAACUCGGUUAUCAUGAUAAUCCCCCCCUUCUUUACCGUAGAUAAAACAUUAACAUAGUGCACUAUAGAAAUUGUGUUGAUAUGGGUUUGUUUUGCUCAUAAUUAAUCCUAGGAUUGCUAACAUGGAUAUUUGUCAUCUAAGAUAGCAUAGUAUUAAAUGUAUUCUGUUUGACGGUUGUCAUAACAACUGUUUUCACUAAUGCUUUCCAUGUGACUCAAGGGACCAAUCAGAUCCACAGAUACAUAGAAUGCAUUUGCUGACGACGGAUCACGUGACUAUGGUGUGGUCACGUGACCGGGAAUCAGGAGCUGAAUGCAUUGAUCAGCGGUGUUACGCCGAUCUGUGCUCUGGUCAUGUUAUCGCGAGCUGGGAUCGUGUUUCUGGGCUCGUGAUUGGUUCAUGAGGGACACAUGACCGGACAGCGAUCAUGCAACUAUAUACCGGACCUGUCAAUUCUGAUGUAAAUAGAUUCAUGUAAACAAAUUAUUUUCUAAUACUCGUUUAUGGGAUAUAUUAAUAUGACCCUUUGGUAAGUGAGAUUGCCUUCUUAUUUUUAUAAUUGAUGAUGGAUCGGAUGAUUAAUGUUUACACACAUGCAACUGUUUGUCCCAAUCUUUGGGGUAUAUAAGUGUGCUCCAUGGACAACUCAUUUAUGCUUCUGAUGAAACUGGGUGUUUCUUUGCCCGGAUAAACGCGUCAGGCUGCUUGUUCCCCACUGUCUCCAGUCACCACUUUACCUUUGGAAUAACUGUACUAUUUUGGACUGAGUUUUUUCCUCUUUACAUCAGUUUAUGUUUAUGGAUACCUACAGGAAUUAGAAGUGGAACCCUCAAUAUUCUGCAAAUUGCUUACAUCUGCCAAGGGAUCGCCAUGAAUUAUCCUUGUGUUGGUAAUAUCCUAUUGAAUUAACUGGUCAAUUAACUAUUGUGGGAUGCUAAAGGUCCUUUUACAUUAUACAUCACUACCGGUGUGGUGAUUUCAAUAGAGAGACAGUGUUGUUGGAGUAUUUUUUAAUGUUUUAAAUACAUUUUGUUAUAUUUUA